rnacentral:lncRNA from 1 species
AUGCUCAAUUUCCCACUUAGUGAAAGCUGGCUUGCAGAGGUUGGUGCCUCCAAGAAAUUCUCUCUUCAGCUCAGAGUUAGCCAAGGCCCAGCUCCUGGGAGGUCCCUCCUCACCUCACAGAACAGAGGAGGUUCCCACCUCCCCAUCCAUGUGAGAUUGUCAAGUUUUUCUGAUCCUUUACUUACAAUUAGGCUUACCCCUAAAUUGAAAGAGGUGUGUGUGGGGGGGGGUGGGGGGGGUGGGGAGAGGUUCAGUCUAACUUCCUGUGACCUGAACAAACUGACAGUUCCUGACAGUCUGAAUUUUAUCUUUCCACCCUGGGAGCCACACAGCCGAAUUCUAUUUCUUAGCCAAACAAACCAACUACAGAGAGUCCAUUAUGUUGCCGCUUCAAAACAGGAAGCGGAGGUUAGAGACGCCAAUAGCUGGUUUUACAUAAUGAGGGAUGCUUGGGGCUGCAGAGCCAGCCCAGGCCCGGGGCUCCUCUCCUUCCACCCGGGAGCCUUUGUUCAGCUCCGACGCCCCACCACACCCGCAGACCUGGAGGACCAGCCUCCUUCCCGGGGGGAAUGCCCGGCCCCCACAUCUGGCGCGCGUUGGGCCUGCAGAGGAGUCGCGCUGCCCUUCCUGCGCCCUGGCCCUGCGAGCCGAGCCGCCGAGCCUCCGAGAACGCUUCCAAGUACACUCCCCACUCCUCCACUCUCCGAUGUGUCUCUGGGGCGAGUCUGCCUCCGGGCCCCACGUAGGUGGGCCCGACCGCAGAGGGAGAGCUCCCUGACCCCGAUGGAUACCGGCAAAGGAAGAAGAGAGUGUGUGCAGAGGGGCCAGAUGGGAGGGAGCAGAGGACCAGGAGGAGAAGGGCACCGGCCACCCCUCUGCACCUCCACGGUCACCCUCGCUGGAUGCGGCCAGCGCUUCCCUUUGGAACCUUGGCUCCAGCGACCACAAAGAGCCUUCCAAAAGGCCACAGGGAGGUCUACAUUUGAAAAACCCAUCAUUUCCCGGCUGCUGCGCGCCAGAGCAACCUAA